UACAGAGGGUGCAAGCGUUAAUCGGAAUUACUGGGCGUAAAGCGUGCGUAGACGGUUACAUAAGUCGGGUGUGAAAGCCCCGGGCUCAACCUGGGAACUGCGUUUGUGACUGUAUGACUAGAGUACGGUAGAGAGGGGUGGAAUUCCUGGUGUAGCAGUGAAAUGCGUAGAUAUCAGGAGGAACAUCGAUGGCGAAGGCAGCCCCUUGGACCUGUACUGACGCUCAUGCACGAAAGCGUGGGGAGCAAACAGG
rnacentral:rRNA from 1 species